rnacentral:rRNA from 1 species
UACGUAGGGGGCUAGCGUUGUCCGGAAUCAUUGGGCGUAAAGCGCGUGUAGGCGGUCCGGUAAGUCCGCUGUGAAAGUCGGGGGCUCAACCCUCGGAUGCCGGUGGAUACUGUCGGGCUUGAGUACGGAAGAGGCGAGUGGAAUUCCUGGUGUAGCGGUGAAAUGCGUAGAUAUCAGGAGGAAUACCUAUGGCGAAAGCAGGUAUCUGGGCCAUCACUGACGCUGAGCUGCGAAAGCUAGGGGAGCAAACAGG